AACGCAACUGGCGCCGGCUUACCGGCAUGCCUGUUUCAGUGUGCUAGGAGAGUAAACUAUCAUUAUAAAAUAUAAUGCGAUUGAGGUACAUUUACGUUAUUCUUUAGUUAAAUAUGAAUGUGUGAAAGAUGAGUAAUCUCUCACACUGGCAAACGAAUUAGUCAUGCUUGUUCGUGAUCUCUUUUAACCAGUGCUAAAGGUUUUUGCUUAGCUAUAAAUCACAUCUAAUCUAUUAAAUAUCUCCAAAUUUGGCAUCUGAAAUCAUACAAGGAUACCCUCUGAACUUAA
rnacentral:misc_RNA from 1 species